GUUUGACUUCCUGUCCUGACUUCCUGCCUUAAUGAAGUACCUCGGGAUGUGAAGGGUAUGGAAUAUCUGACAAUGGACAAAUCAUCUGCCAGAAGCUAAAGGAAGCUGAGAAAAAGUUGUUUCCUCAAUACUCACUGAGCCUGCCUGAAUACCCUGAACCAUAAAGCCUCUGGUUGGAAACAGAACGGAACCUCCUUCCACCAAUCACCUUGACAACCAGAAGGAAAAGAUGUGAAGCUGGGUAUUGUUGAAGAAGAGGGCAAUCCAAACAACGGCUCUAUAGUAAGAGAUAUGAGAGGAAAAUCCUUCUAGGAGAUGGGGAAAGAGAGGCUGGCUGCUUCUCUUUCCACUGUGCCCCUCAGCAGAUGGCACAAACAUCACCAUGGUGACCACAUGAAACUUCUGAGGCUGCAUCCAACUCCUGCCAUCCCUUCAUGCUCACCUGUCCUGGAUCUCUAAGAGGUCUGUUAAGACUGCAGAAACUCUCCAGUCCAAGGCUCCUGCUUGUUCCUACGUUCUAAUCUCCUGUUACCAGAAUCUGUCAUAUCUUCAGAUGCCCUACCCUGGUCAUUGCCUAUGCCUCUCGGCCUUGGCUUUGCUUCCUUUUUUUAUGAUUCAAAUCCUAAUCAAUGUGGAUUGCAUCCACACCUACAGGCAACAGCCACCUGCAAGCCUAUAGAAGCAAGGACACUAUCCCACACUCCAUCUCAAGCCUUCUUCUUCUUGGUCUUUCAAUACUUUAGUGACCCAUCUCAUCAAUGAAAUCUGCUCUUUUGCAACUUUUA